rnacentral:lncRNA from 1 species
CCAGCACCGACAUGGGACCUGGAGCUCACUUCCCAGACACUUGGUGUUGGACAGGGAUGAUGGAGUGAUAGAGCAUGUAUAGGGAAGACCUACUGUGAGUCAUUCUAGGCUUUUUCAUUGUUUCAGACUGGGAGAUGGUUCAUUUAGUAAAGUUGACAACUGGACAAGCACAAAGACCUAAGUUCAGGUCCCCAGAACCCACAUUAGAAGCCAGACAUGACAACACAAACUCUUAUGACAUCUUUUCAAAAGCUAGACUGCUCAGAAAAGCUUAAAGUAGUUUCAUAAUGAAGAUGAACUUUGUGAUUCUCUUUAAGGCUUAAAGAUUUUAUUGUUCUUUUAUAAGAACUGGUUUCUGUUUGAAUAAAGGCUACCUUGUGAGUGAUUUAACUCGUUGAUGCUUGGUGUUAAUUGCACACACUGAUUUCCCAAAUAAGAGCUGAUGUUAAGAUGCUCCCUGCAAUCAGUGGUAGAAUGAACAGAAACACGCAAAGGAGAAAAUUGUGUGUGGAGGCUAGCUCGGUUUCAUUGCUGUGAAGGGACACCACGACCAAGGCAACUCUUAUAAAGGACAUUUAAUUGGGGCUGGCGUACAAUUUCAGAGGUUUAGUCCAUUAUCAUCUGCAGGUAGCAGACAGAAUGCAUGCCAUACUGGGUGUUGCACGAGCAUAGGAGACCUCAAAGCCUGUCCCAUUUUGUUUUAAAAAAAAAAAAAAAA